AUUGAACGCUGGCGGCAUGCCUAACACAUGCAAGUCGAACGGUAACAGGAAGAGCCUUGCUUCUUUGCUUACGCGUGGCGCACGUGUGUGUAAUGUCGGUGAAACUGCCUUAUGAAGGGGGUUAACUACUGGAAACGGUGCCUAUUACCGCAUAACUCUUCAAGCCCAAGGAUCGAUACCUUCGGGCCUCUUUCCAUCGGCUGUUCCCAGAUGGGAUUAGCUAGUAGGUAGGGUAACGGCUCACCUAGGCGACGAUCCGUAGCUGGUCUGAGAGGAUGACCGGCCACACUGGAACUGAGACACGGUCCAGACUCCUACGGGAGGCAGCAGUAGGGAAUAUUGCACAAUGGGCGCAAGCCUGAUGCAGCAAUGCCGCGUGUAUGAAGAAGGUCUUCGGAUUGUAAAAUACUGUUAGUGGGGAGGAAGAGAGUAAUGUGUAUACAUGCACGUAUUGACGUUACCCGAACAAGAAGCCACGGCUAACUACGUG
rnacentral:rRNA from 1 species